GACGAACGCUGGCGGCGUGCCUAAUACAUGCAAGUAGAACGCUGAAGAGAGGAGCUUGCUCUUCUUGGAUGAGUUGCGAACGGGUGAGUAACGCGUAGGUAACCUGCCUUGUAGCGGGGGAUAACUAUUGGAAACGAUAGCUAAUACCGCAUAACAAUGAAUGACUCAUGUCAUUUAUUUGAAAGGGGCAAUUGCUCCACUACAAGAUGGACCUGCGUUGUAUUAGCUAGUAGGUGAGGUAACGGCUCACCUAGGCGACGAUACAUAGCCGACCUGAGAGGGUGAUCGGCCACACUGGGACUGAGACACGGCCCAGACUCCUACGGGAGGCAGCAGUAGGGAAUCUUCGGCAAUGGGGGCAACCCUGACCGAGCAACGCCGCGUGAGUGAAGAGGGUUUUCGGAUCGUAAAGCUCUGUUGUAAGUCAAGAACGAGUGUGAGAGUGGAAAAUUCACACUGGACGGAGCUACCAGAAAG
rnacentral:rRNA from 1 species